UACGGAGGGUGCAAGCGUUGCUCGGAAUCACUGGGCGUAAAGCGUACGCAGGCGGCACGUUAAGUCGGGUGUGAAAGCCCUGGGCUCAACCCAGGAAGUGCACUCGAAACUGGCGCGCUAGAGGACGGGAGAGGAGAGCGGAAUUCCUGGUGUAGAGGUGAAAUUCGUAGAUAUCAGGAGGAACAUCAGUGGCGAAAGCGGCUCUCUGGCUCGUUUCUGACGCUCAUGUACGAGAGCGUGGGUAGCAAACAGG
rnacentral:rRNA from 1 species